UUUAAUACCAGGAAAUUGAGUUCUGGAGACACUCAGAGACUUCUAGGUUUGAGUAUAGCAAGUGAGAAAGUCGGGAUCCCAAUCCAGGAGUCUGGUUUUUAGGGCCAAAACACUAACCAUUCUGUUUUUCAUGUAAGGUUGUUAUAAGAACACCAUGAGGCUCACAUAAAUAUUUACCCCAUGGCAAAUGUCACAAACUGUUAAGCAUGGCUCUGGCAGGUACUGUAAGCUAGCUCGGAGGAUUAUCCCUUCACAGCUUUUAAUACAAUCUUUGAGACAAGGCCUCUUGCCCAGUUUCGGAUGUGGAGCCUUGGGCUUUUCUGUAUAGUAUUUCAGUUGUUUCUAUGCAUAUUGGAAUGCCCGCACAAGACAAUCAGUUCUCUGAAGGCAAGAUCAAUCUCUGCUCCCAUUUUAUGUCUUCUAACUCCUUACACAUAGUAGGAAUUUAGUAAAUACAUACUGGAUAAGUGGAAAUAUUGGUAUUACACACAAGGGCUUGUGCUACAAACCUGCUUCAGCCAUGUAUUCCUGCACCUGCUUCAAGUGUGUGGCUAACCCAACGGCAACCCAGAAAAUGGAAGCGGGCCUAAGACAGUCUUAGACCCAAGACACACAAAAGCACCCUUCCCUGCAGUGUCAUGCUCACAGGGGACAAGCGAUCUCUACAACCUGACUCCGCAGGCAUCUGUAUUAAGCAAAGCUACUUUAUUAAACACCAAAAGGUCACAUCUACAUAAUGAAGAGACUUUGCUGGAAGCCUAAGAAAAGUCUGCUCAUGGGCUUGUCACCAAACAACUCCUCAAGCUUCUGCAGCCUCCUGCCCACUUCGGACAAGGGACCCCUUUGUGCAGUUCAGGACAUCAAUAAUUAUGUCCCGGCAGACUGGA